rnacentral:rRNA from 1 species
AACGAACGCUGGCGGCAUGCCUAACACAUGCAAGUCGAACGAGACCUUCGGGUCUAGUGGCGCACGGGUGCGUAACGCGUGGGAACCUGCCCUUAGGUUCGGAAUAACUCCCGAAAGGGGUGCUAAUACCGGGUAAUGUCUUCGGACCAAAGAUUUAUCGCCUUUGGAUGGGCCCGCGUUGGAUUAGCUAGUUGGUAGGGUAAAAGCCUACCAAGGCGACGAUCCAUAGCUGGUCUGAGAGGAUGAUCAGCCACACUGGGACUGAGACACGGCCCAGACUCCUACGGGAGGCAGCAGUGGGGAAUAUUGGACAAUGGGCGAAAGCCUGAUCCAGCAAUGCCGCGUGAGUGAUGAAGGCCUUAGGGUUGUAAAGCUCUUUUACCCGGGAUGAUAAUGACAGUACCGGGAGAAUAAGCUCCGGCUAACUCCGUG